rnacentral:rRNA from 1 species
UGGGGAAUCAUGGUCAAUGGGCGAAAGCCUGACCCUGCGACGCCGCGUGAGUGAUGAAGGUCGUACGAUCGUAAAACACUUUUCCGGGAUCUUAAAGCCUGUCUGUCAACAACAGGCAGGUCUGACUCUCACUGGAAGAAGCCCCAGCCAACUACGUGCCAGCAGCUGCGGUAAUACGUAGGGGGCGAGCGUUAUUCGGAUUUACUGGGCGUAAAGGGUGCGUAGGAGGUUGAGAAAGUCGGAUGUGAAAGCUCACUGCUUAACGGUGAAACUGCAUUCGAAACUUCUUGACUCGAGGAUCAGAAAGGAAAGCGGAGUUCUUGGUGUAGCGGUGAAAUGCGUAGAUAUCAAGAGGAACGCCAAUGGCGAAAGCAGCUUUCUGGAGGAUUACUGACUCUGAGGCACGAAGGCUAGGGUAGCAAACA